GCCAUUAUAGGUUAAUUGGUAGACGAUCUUUCUUCCAAAAAGAGAAUAUCCGUUCGAGUCGGAUUAAUGGCA